CGCAUCUGUGCAUGCAGCAUAUCAAUAAGCGGAGGAAAAGAAACUAACAAGGAUUCCCCUAGUAACGGCGAGUGAAGCGGGAAGAGCUCAAAUUUGAAAUCUUAAAGGGUUUCCCUUUACGAAUUGUAGUUUAAAGAAGUGUUUUCUGUUGAGGUUUUGGUAAAAGUUCUUUGGAAUAGGACAUCAUAGAGGGUGAGAAUCCCGUAUUUGACCUUUACUUUCAACUUUGUGAUACACUUUCAAAGAGUCGGAUUGUUUGGGAAUGCAGUCCAAAAUGGGUGGUAAAUUUCAUCUAAAGCUAAAUAUUGGCGAGGAGACCGAUAGCGAACAAGUACCGUGAGGGAAAGAUGAAAAGAACUUUGAAAAGAGAGUUAAACAGUACGUGAAAUUGUCAAAAGGGAAGCGUUUGACACCAGGUGUUGUUUUUCUGAAAAUCAAUUAAAGAACUGUUUAUGCUAAGCUGUUUAGACUUUAUCAGCUAUCUGCUUAGUUUUGAGCUUUUCUUUAAUGCACUUUUCAGUUAACAAGUCAACAUCAAUUUCUUUUGCUGUAAAAAAGCUUGAGGAAGGUGGCUUGAGAUUCGUCUUAAGUGUUUAUAGCCUCUUGCCUAUGCAGUCGGAGAGAUUGAGGUCUGCAGCGUAGAUCCUUCGGGGCUAAAUGCAUUUGUGCUAAGUUAUAACAUUUUAUAGACAACUUGUUGACUAUGAUUUGUCUUGUAGCUUACUCGCUUAUGUUAUUUUACCUACGCUUAGGAUGUUGAGCGCAUGUCUCUCUCU
rnacentral:rRNA from 1 species